GGGGUUUUCUGGUAAGUGUCUUUACAGAAGUCUUUUUUUAAACAUUAACCCUACAUUGAAAGUACUCAUUUGAGUAACAGUGUGACAACUAGCCACGGUUACACGAGUGCGUGUCCCCGAGGACCGCUCCAUCGCGCGCGCGUGAGGGAUGAACGCGAGAGCGCGCAUAGAGCUAGCAGACCAGCACACGCUCCGGAUCGUCAACACGGGAAUCAGCUGUCAGCACACGAAUCCCAUCCAGAGGAAGUCAGAGCCUGUAUUUACUGGGAAAACCAUCCCAGCUGUGGACCAGGUCUUGAGCGGUUCACUGUUAUACAGCCUGUGCACUUUAAUAUUCCUCACGGAUCUGGUCUCUUCAUGACCUGCUGAAGAGAGCCGGCUUUCCUCUGUCUGAGCUUUCAGUAAUUAUCUCGGACACCUGAAAAUGAAGCUGCGUGGGCGAUCAGUGUGUCACGGCAUGUUUUCUCUCCAUGUACCCUAAACUGGACUUGCUUCAUCUCUGAACU